GUCAACGUAGCUUAAUGAAAGCACCGGUCUUGUAAACCGAAGAAUGAGGACUCACCCCCUCCUUUGUCA
rnacentral:tRNA from 1 species